rnacentral:lncRNA from 1 species
AAACCCCGCGUGAGAAUGGGCCACAGUUAAUUUCGCCGGCCUGUUUGGAGCCUGUUUCCGCGGGUCGGCGUCUCCCUCGAAUCGGCAAAACACCAGGGGAACGCUCCCCCGAGUCGCGACCCCGGGCAAGUUUCCCCACGGGCGGGGCGACGAAAUCACCGCUCUGCUCCGACGUCCAGCUCUACUCGCGAGCAGGACAUCACCGCGCGUCCACCAUCUCUGGCUUGCUGUCCUCCGCGCGUCAUCUCCAUCCCUGGCUUGAGGUAUUCAACUAUGUUCUCCCUCUUCUCGUACCAUACAUACUAGCUAGGGUUUUGAAUAAUUCUGAUCGGCGAUCUGGUGGCGGCGUCCGGUCCGCUGUUUGCUGCUGGUGUGGUGGUACGUUGGCGUCGUGCGUGUGUCUCACUGAGCUCGUCCGUUCGGACGACCGGCCGAUUCGUCAUGUCUGCAUCUGCGUCCUUGUCUGCAUCUGCGUCCUUGUCUGCGUUCGGCCGGCCGGCCGGUUCGGACGAUGACGACGGAGGUGGCCAUGUCUGCAUCUGUGUCCUUAUCGUUGGGCGAGUGGUCAGAGUCAGAGAUUCCCUGAGCCGAGAUUAGCUUGUUUUAUCCGUUGAAAACUACUUAUCCAUGGUUUUAUCGCAUUGUUCUGCGCUGUUUUAGUUUUCAAUGAUAAGCUGGCAACUACUUAUCAUUUUUAGAUUAGCUUGCUCAACUAAACUCAGUACAAGACUGACUCUCUUCCAAGAUCCGAGCCUUGGACUCUCCAAGAUCCAAACUAUUUUAGUUUUCAGACUGUUUUAGUUUUCAGACUGUAUACACGGAAAAAGGUUAGCUGUUAAAUCUAAAACCUUUACUAAACUUUACUAAACUAUCAUAUGUUUUAGUUUUCAUAUUGUUCAAAUAUAACAGCUAACCUUUACUAAACUUCAGCCGACAGUUAUUUGUAUUUUCCAUUUGACAAUUUUCCAUUUGAUCAGCCAGAAGUUCUGUUCGAUAAGUCAGGACGCCGCAUACACCUACAACAUUUUCUGUUCUAAAAUGAAGUGGCCAAUAACAUAAUUUAUAAACUAAACUCAGUACAAGACUGACUCUCUUCCAAGAUCCGAGCCUUGGACUCUCCAAGAUCCAAACUAUUUUAGUUUUCAGACUGUUUUAGUUUUCAGACUGUAUACACAGAAAAAGGUUAGCUGUUAAAUCUAAAACCUUUACUAAACUUUACUAAACUAUCAUAUGUUUUAGUUUUCAGAUUGUUCAAAUAUAACAGCUAACCUUUACUAAACUUCAGCCGGCAGACUGUGCACAAAUAGAAAGUGAACAAGGGUCGGCAGACUGUGCUCUAUAAUCCUGAGAAGGGAAGAUUUGUUCAAAUAGAAAGUGAACAAUUGUUUAAUAUAGAUCCCGACAACUUUAUCCACAAAUUGCAUUGCUAAAUCUAAAACUGUAACCUUUACUAAACUGUAACCUUUGCUGAACUAAACUGUAACCUUUGCUGAAUUUAUAAUCUUGAGUAGCCUUGGACAUAUGACAUAUAAAUUCAACCAGUACAAGGGUCGUUAAUACGCUUCAGCCGGGAAGGCGUUUGUUAUUAUCUUUGCGAUUGUUAUUAUCUUUACGAUAUUUUCCAUUGCUUAUCAUGCCUUUUGCUAUGAUUAUGUGUUGCUUAUAUAGUUUCUCAAUUUCUCUAGAUAUGGGUUCUUGGGAAGAGCUAGCUAGGCAGUUUUUGUUGGAGGAAGAAGAAGACGAUGAGGAGUUUUUCUUUAUUCUUCUCCCUGCUAUACUUCCAUUCCUCUCUGAAGAGAAAAGGUCUAUCCAUACCUCCUCUCUCUCUGGUGCCCAAAAGGUUAAGGAGAUUCUUGAAGGGCAUGAGAGUUGGUGCAAGUCCGAGUUUCGAAUGGAGCCAGAAAUAUUUAGAGCCACAUCAGAAUUCCUUAGAAGAGAGGGUUUGUUACGUGAUACACGAGGAGUUAACGUCGAAGAGCAGCUUGGGAUGUUUAUGUAUAUGAUCUCCCACAAUGCCAGUAACCAAAUGCUUCAAAAGGCUUUCCAACAUAGUGGAGAGACUAUCCAUCGAAAAAUAUCAGAAGUUUUCGAUAUAGUUCCCACUCUAACUCAGCGAUUCGUGAAGCUUCCCAAUUCUAUCCAGACACAUCCAAAAAUUAUAACUGAUUCUAGGUUCAUGCCCUUUUUUUAGGUGACCUAUCAAUAGUAAACAUGAUUUCCUUAACUUUUUCCCUUUAACAUGCCCUAAAUUUCCUCUCCUUUUAUACAGAAUUGCAUUGGAGCAAUUGACGGAACCCAUGUACCUAUCACCAUUGCAGAAGAUAAGGCUCCUCCUUACCGAAAUAGGAAAGGGUCACUUUCACAAAACGUGAUGUUGGCAUGUGAGGUGAAUGUGGCGAUGAAGAGAUGGGCUUACAGGUAUUCACUGUAUUACAAACUGGUUAUUUUUGUCUUGUUUUUUUAAUAAAAUAAAAUAAAAUAUGGUCUGAAGUCUGAACUUGCUGAUUGGAGUAUGCAAUUGGAGUCUGAACUUGCUGGUUAUAAGAGAUGGGCUUACAGUGCUUCUAGGCGUCUAGCUAAGGAAGCUUAAUGCUUGGCUGUUACAUAAUUGAAGUAUGAAGUACUCCAAUCUGUUUAAUAACUGAAAUUUCAAUCCAGUUUACAUGCUUGGCUGUUACAUAAUUGAAGUAUGCUUGACUUUGUUAUCAUGCUGAAUCUUCCACUGUGACUUGUGAUUGAGGCUUAAGCUUAACUCCAUAUAAGUAUAACUCACUAGAUGCUUAAGUUAGUAGAGAGCCAGUGCAUUAUUAACAACUUAUCUGACCUUUGGUUUAACAUAUACCAAGAAUUUGCAAUCGUGUAUAUAUAUAAUAUGCUUUUGUAUUUCACAUUUACUUCACACCUAGUCUUUCUAAGAUAAUGUUCAUUGUGUAUAUACUAAAUUGAUUCAUUUCAUCUACUAACUCCUACUGCUAUAUAUUGUUUAAUCACACUUCUAUGCUAUGCUACUAGCAUUGAACUAUAUAAUUGUGUAACCAUAUAAACUAAAAUGUGUGUCAAUUGGUGUUACUUGCAGUGUGUUAAGUGGAAGCAACACAUGAAGCGGACAUGGAGAAGGAAGCUGGCAUGACACUAAAACGCAUAAAGUUGACUUGUGACGUUCAUGUUUUAGAUGUCUUAUUCUACUGCCAAACUUCCUAGUACUCCAUUUUUAUACUAUAUUGUCUAUCUGUACGUGUGAAUGGAGAUGAUGAUAUUAUGUGAUGUGAUGAUGGAUGGAUUAGCUUCGUUGAAUAUUAGAUGAUAUUAUGUGAUGAUGAUAUUAAACGGGCAUUGUAGUAUUGAUACAUGCUUCAUAUUUCUGGAUUUUUAGUGAUGUUUUAUUGUUUAUGAGUUUUCUAAAUAUUCCUUAUUUUUGUUUGAUUUUUUCUAAAUUUUUGAUGUAUUUUUUUGCUCAAGAGGGG